GUGUUGCUGCUCUGCUACUGGAAACCUCACAUGUGAGAGAAGAGUGUAGUUACACAAUAACCACCACUAGAUGGCACAGGCUUUCACUAUAGGAAGGUG